rnacentral:rRNA from 1 species
AAGAAGAACCGGGGGUAAGGAGUAACUGGUUUACCCCAGUGACCGGUAUUUAACCCAGAAAGCCACGGGCUAACUACGUGCCAGCAGCCGCGGUAAUACGUAGGUGGCAAGCGUUAUCCGGAUUUAUUGGGCGUAAAGCGAGCGCAGGCGGUCUUUUUAAGUCUAAUGUGAAAGCCUUCGGCUCAACCGAAGAAGUGCAUUGGAAACUGGGAGACUUGAGUGCAGAAGAGGACAGUGGAACUCCAUGUGUAGCGGUGAAAUGCGUAGAUAUAUGGAAGAACACCAGUGGCGAAGGCGGCUGUCUGGUCUGCAACUGACGCUGAGGCUCGAAAGCAUGGGUAGCGAACAGGAUUAGAUACCCUGGUAGUCCAUGCCGUAAACGAUGAUUACUAAGUGUUGGAGGGUUUCCGCCCUUCAGUGCUGCAGCUAACGCAUUAAGUAAUCCGCCUGGGGAGUACGACCGCAAGGUUGAAACUCAAAAGAAUUGACGGGGGCCCGCACAAGCGGUGGAGCAUGUGGUUUAAUUCGAAGCUACGCGAAGAACCUUACCAGGUCUUGACAUCUUCUGACAGUCUAAGAGAUUAGAGGUUCCCUUCGGGGACAGAAUGACAGGUGGUGCAUGGUUGUCGUCAGCUCGUGUCGUGAGAUGUUGGGUUAAGUCCCGCAACGAGCGCAACCCUUAUUACUAGUUGCCAGCAUUAAGUUGGGCACUCUAGUGAGACUGCCGGUGACAAACCGGAGGAAGGUGGGGACGACGUCAAAUCAUCAUGCCCCUUAUGACCUGGGCUACACACGUGCUACAAUGGAUGGUACAACGAGUCGCGAGACCGCGAGGUUAAGCUAAUCUCUUAAAACCAUUCUCAGUUCGGACUGUAGGCUGCAACUCGCCUACACGAAGUCGGAAUCGCUAGUAAUCGCGGAUCAGCAUGCCGCGGUGAAUACGUUCCCGGGCCUUGUACACACCGCCCGUCACACCAUGAGAGUUUGUAACACCCAAAGCCGGUGGGGUAACCUUUUAGGAGCUAGCCGUCUAAGGUGACAGAGUUGGCG